rnacentral:rRNA from 1 species
GACGAACGCUGGCGGCAUGCCUAACACAUGCAAGUCGAACGAGACCUUCGGGUCUAGUGGCGCACGGGUGCGUAACGCGUGGGAACCUGCCCUUAGGUUCGGAAUAACUCCCCGAAAGGGGUGCUAAUACCGGAUAAUGUCUUCGGACCAAAGAUUUAUCGCCUUUGGAUGGGCCCGCGUUGGAUUAGCUAGUUGGUAGGGUAAAAGCCUACCAAGGCGACGAUCCAUAGCUGGUCUGAGAGGAUGAUCAGCCACACUGGGACUGAGACACGGCCCAGACUCCGACGGGAGGCAGCAGUGGGGAAUAUUGGACAAUGGGCGAAAGCCUGAUCCAGCAAUGCCGCGUGAGUGAUGAAGGCCUUAGGGUUGUAAAGCUCUUUUACCCGGGAUGAUAAUGACAGUACCGGGAGAAUAAGCUCCGGCUAACUCCGU